GACGAACCACACAAACGUUAUUCGGAAUUACUGGGCUUAAAGGGUGCGUAGGCGGCGCUAAAAGUUGGGUGUGAAAUCCCUCGGCUUAACCGAGGAACUGCGCUCUAAACUACUGUGCUCGAGGGAGAUAGAGGUGAGCGGAACUUAGGGUGGAGCGGUGAAAUGCGUUGAUAUCCUAAGGAACACCGGUGGCGAAAGCGGCUCACUGGAUCUCUUCUGACGCUGAGGCACGAAAGCUAGGGUAGCAAACGGG
rnacentral:rRNA from 1 species